GAUAAGCAACGAAUCGGUUGUUCGUGUUUUGAUUUGUGAUUUGGAAAAAACAAAGAGAUUGACGUCAAUGAGUGCGUUUCCGUACCUACAACUUUGGCAGUUUCUGCGAGUUCAUUUGAAGAAAUAUCUGAUAUUUUCCAAACUGAGGAUGAUAGGAACUAUACACUCAAAAUAAAUCACAAGAACGAUACAAUGAUGGAUGUAGAGCUGUGCGCCGAUCAAAAAUGUCAACAUCGGCGGCUGAAACGUCUUUUUGACCAGCGGCGGCGGUGAAUCGGCGUGACGCUGUUUCCUGAAAACAUCGGCGGCGGAGGCGGCGCGAUUCGGCGUAAUCAAUUAUAAACAUAUAAAAAAAUUUUAAUAUUGAUUCACACAGGACAAUUUCUCUAUCUUAUUGUUUUGUCGACCUACAAUCAAAGAUCCUAAUGUUUAUGUGAUCCAUUAAAGCCAACGUAGUGAAUAGAGAUGGUAAAUGGUUUCGAAUGCAUCGAAUUAGAAGAGAAAUUGAGAUGAGUAUAAGUGCGAUUAUUUGGAGAUGGUUGACUAUUGUUUAAAUAAAUAUUUCAUUCAUAUACAAAGGGUUUUUUUUAU